rnacentral:lncRNA from 1 species
AAGGUGUAUAUGACAUACUAACCCGAUUAGAGAUGGAUGAAAAUUCAGAUCUACAUGAAGAGAAAGUAUUUCAAGAGGAAGAACAAACAUUGAUCGAGCUCCUUGUUGAUGAAAAACUUAUGACAACUCCUUUGAAUAGGGCUGAUCUACCAUCUAACAAAGUUGAAGCUGAUUUUAUAUUUAAUCUUGAUGAUUCAGAGGAUGACGAUCAGUUCAUAAAUAACGAUAAGAUAGAAGAUGAUACAUUAGUUGAUUAUUGUGAUUUGGAGGAGGACCUAUAAAUCGAAGAGGAUACGGAUGUUGAUGAGUAGAUCUAUAUUCUUUGUUGAAUCUUCUCUUGCAAUAAUGGUAUGUAAUAUAAUUUUAUUCAUUGGCAUUUAUGUAUUUUUCACUAUUAUUGUUCAUUGUUACAUUUAUUUAUAUGUCAAGGUAAUUAUAUGCAUGGUUUAAGCAUUGCUGGUAUGG